UACGGGGGGGGCAAGCGUUGUUCGGAAUUACUGGGCGUAAAGGGCUCGUAGGUGGCCAACUAAGUCGGACGUGAAAUCCCUCAGCUUAACUGGGGAACUGCGUCCGAUACUGGAAGGCUUGAAUCCGGGAGAGGGAUGCGGAAUUCCAGGUGUAGCGGUGAAAUUCGUAGAUAUUAGGAAGAACACCAGUGGCGAAGGCGGCUCACUGGCCCGGUACUGACGCUGAGGCGCGAAAGCGUGGGGAGCAAACAGG
rnacentral:rRNA from 1 species